AUGGCUCGUACUAAGCAGACCGCCCGUAAGUCCACUGGAGGAAAGGCUCCCAGGAAGCAGCUAGCCACCAAGGCUGCCCGUAAGUCUGCUCCCACCACUGGAGGAGUGAAGAAGCCUCACCGUUACCGCCCUGGAACUGUUGCUCUUCGUGAGAUCCGCAAGUACCAAAAGAGCACGGAGCUGCUCAUCAGGAAGCUUCCAUUCCAGAGGCUUGUUAGGGAGAUUGCCCAGGACUUCAAGACUGACCUCCGCUUCCAGAGCCAUGCGGUGCUGGCCCUUCAGGAGGCUGCAGAGGCCUACCUGGUCGGUCUCUUCGAGGACACCAACCUGUGCGCCAUCCAUGCCAAGCGGGUGACCAUCAUGCCCAAGGACAUUCAGCUGGCUAGGAGGAUCCGUGGCGAGAGGGCUUAA
rnacentral:rRNA from 1 species